rnacentral:tRNA from 1 species
ACUCCCUUCGUUCAGUGGUUAGGACGCACGUCUUAUAUACGUGUUGUGGGUGGUUCGAUUCCAUCAGGGAGUACCA